rnacentral:rRNA from 1 species
UACGAGUGCCCCGAGCGUUAUCCGGAAUCAUUGGGCGUAAAGGGUCCGCAGGUGGCCCGGUCAGUCCGCUGUCAAAGCCUGGGGCUCAACCCUGGAGAGGCGGCGGAGACCACCGGGCUUGAGUCCGGUAGGGGCAGAGGGAAUUCCCGGUGGAGCGGUGAAAUGCGUAGAGAUCGGGAAGAACGCCAAGGGCGAAGGCACUCUGCUAGGCCUGAUUUCGCGACUGACACUCAGGGACGAGAGCCAGGGGAGCGAAUGGG